ensembl:snRNA U6 U6 spliceosomal RNA
GUGCUUGCUCUGGCAGCACAUGUACAGAGGUGAACAAUGCAGAGAUCAGCAUGACCCCUGUGCAAGGAUGACAUGCAAAUUCAUGAAGGAUUCCAUAUUUUU